GACGAACGCUGGCGGCGUGCUUAACACAUGCAAGUCGAACGAUGAAGCCGGAGCUUGCUCUGGUGAAUUAGUGGCGAACGGGUGAGUAACACGUGAGUAACCUGCCCUUGACUCUGGGAUAACUGCGGGAAACUGUAGCUAAUACCGGAUACGACCCUCGGAGGCAUCUCCUGGGGGUGGAAAGAAUUUCGGUCAAGGAUGGACUCGCGGCCUAUCAGCUAGUUGGUGAGGUAAAGGCUCACCAAGGCGACGACGGGUAGCCGGCCUGAGAGGGCGACCGGCCAAACUGGGACGGAGAUACGGCACAGACUCCUACGGGAGGCAGCAGUGGGGAAUAUUGCACAAUGGGCGCAAGCCUGAUGGAGCGACGCCGCGUGAGGGAUGACGGCCUUCGGGUUGUAAACCUCUUUCAGCAUCGACGAAGCGAAAGUGACGGUAGGUGCAGAAGAAGGACCGGCCAACUACGUGCCAGCCGCCGCCGUAA
rnacentral:rRNA from 1 species